rnacentral:rRNA from 1 species
CAAAGAUUAAGCCAUGCAUGUCUAAGUAUAAGCAAGUCUAUACAGUGAAACUGCGAAUGGCUCAUUAUAUCAGUUAUAAUUUAUUUGACUGUACCCGCUUUACUACUUGGAUAUCCGUGGUAAUUCUAGAGCUAAUACAUGCGCGACAGGCCCGACUUUUCGGAAGGGCUGCAUUUAUUAGAUAUAAGGCCGGCUUGCCCUCUUCGGGGGGCAACAUUGGUGAAUCAUAAUAACUUGCGAAUCGUUGGCCGUACGGCUACGAUGGGUCAUUCAAAUUUCUGCCCUAUCAGCUUUCGAUGGUACGGUAGUGGCCUACCAUGGCUUUAACGGGUAACGGGGAAUCAGGGUUUGAUUCCGGAGAGGGAGCCUGAGAAACGGCUACCACUUCUAAGGAAGGCAGCAGGCGCGCAAAUUACCCAAUGCUAACGCAGCGAGGUAGUGACAAUAAAUAACAAUCUAGGGCCCUUGUGGUCUUGGAAUUGCAAUGAGUCAACGUAAACACCUUAACGAGUAACAAUUGGAGGGCAAGUCUGGUGCCAGCAGCCGCGGUAAUUCCAGCUCCAAUAGUGUAUAUUAAAGUUGCUGCAGUUAAAACGCUCGUAGUCGGAGUUUGGGGUAGUUGGGCCUGGGCUGCCGGCGUUGCUUUCGGGCGGCGCUCGGCAUGCCUUUUAUUGGCCUGCUCCCCAGUUUAUUCUGGAGUAGGUGGUUGGACUCGUCUGGCCAUCCGUCUCCAGACUUUUACCUUAGAAAAUUAGAGUGUUCAAAGCAGGCAACCGCUUGAAUAUGUUAGCAUGGAAUAAUGGAAUAGGACUCUGGUCUUGUUUUGUUGGCUUUACGAGGCCGGGGUAAUGAUUAAUAGGAACAGUUGGGGGCAUUUGAAUUGGGCGGUUAGAGGUGAAAUUCUUGGAUCCGCCCAAGUCAGACUAGUGCGAAAGCAUUUGCCCAGCAUGUGUCCAUUGAUCAAGAACGAAAGUUAGGGGAUCGAAGACGAUUAGAUACCGUCGUAGUCUUAACCAUAAACGAUGCCGACUGGGGAUGGGGCCUGGCUUGCGGGCCGGCUCUGGACUCAAUGAGAAAUCAAAGUGUUUGGGUUCCGGGGGGAGUAUGGUCGCAAGGCUGAAACUUAAAGGAAUUGACGGAAGGGCACCACCAGAAGUGGAGCCUGCGGCUUAAUUUGACUCAACACGGGGAAACUCACCAGGUCCAGACAUAGUGAGGAUUGACAGAUUGAUAGCUCUUUCUUGAUUCUAUGGGUGUGGUGCAUGGCCGUUCUUAGUUCGUGGAUUCAUUUGUCUGGUUAAUUCCGAUAACGAACGAGACCUUAGCCUGCUAAAUAAAACCGGCCAGUUUGACUGGUUUGGUUUUUCUUAGAGGGACUGCUAGUGCUAAGCUAGCGGAAGUUUGAGGCAAUAACAGGUCUGUGAUGCCCUUAGAUGUUCUGGGCCGCACGCGCGCUACACUGAUGAGGCCAGCGAGUUUUUUUCCUUGCCUGAGAAGGCCGGGUAAUCUGUCAACCCUCAUCGUGCUGGGGAUAGUCCUUUGCAAUUUUCGGACUUGAACGAGGAACUUCUAGUAAUCGCAAGUCAUCAGCUUGCGAUGAUUACGUCCCUGCCCUUUGUACACACCGCCCGUCGCUACUACCGAUUGAAUGGCUUAGUGAGUCCUCUGGAUCUGCGGGACACGCCCUCACCGGUUGUCUUGCUUGGAGAAAGUUGGCCAAACUUGGUCAUUUAGAGGAAGUAAAAGUCGUAACA